rnacentral:tRNA from 1 species
CAAAUCGUAGCUUAACCAAAGCC